UACGGGGGGGGCAAGCGUUGUUCGGAGUUACUGGGCGUAAAGGGCUCGUAGGCGGCCAACUAAGUCGGAUGUGAAAUCCCCAGGCUUAACCUGGGAACUGCAUCCGAUACUGGAUGGCUUGAAUCCGGGAGAGGGAUGCAGAAUUCCAGGUGUAGCGGUGAAAUGCGUAGAUAUCUGGAGGAAUACCGGUGGCGAAGGCGGCAUCCUGGACCGGCAUUGACGCUGAGUGAGCGAAAGCCAGGGGAGCAAACGGG
rnacentral:rRNA from 1 species